rnacentral:lncRNA from 1 species
AAAAAAUGCUGCCGUAUGCGCUUGCUGGAAAUGAUGCUCCAUCUAGAACAGUGAGAACAAGCGCGGUUCCUCGGAAUGACUAGCAGGAUCAGGCGGCACACAUGGCAUGAUAACAUCAGUCCUGGAAUUUGGGUGAAAUUCACAGAGAUUUACAUGCGUUCUACGCUUGGCACUAUGCAAAUGCUGUUAAUGAAAAGAGCUAGGUAAUUAC